AGCUACUUAAAGUGCCGCCUCGAGGCAUAAGAUCCCGUCUGUUCUUGGAAGGUAGCCAGGAUCAGCCCUGGUUAGGAUUUGGAUGGGAGACCACCAACAAAUACCAAGUGAUGUAGCUU
rnacentral:rRNA from 11 species